ensembl:snRNA U5 U5 spliceosomal RNA
AGCUUGGGUUUCUCUUCAUUCAGGCACAAAUCUUUUGCCUUUUACUAAAGGUUUCUGUAGUUGGGAAGGAUGACUAGUUCUUAUUUUUGAAGGCUCUGCUUUGGUAGAGCU